UGGAUUAAACUCUUAUAUCUGAUAAAAAUUAUGUUUUUUGUAAGGCUAAUCUAAAGAUGUGUUUAUUAAAUGAGAAUGCAUAAAAAUUAAACUAAACCGAAAGAAGAAAUAGAUAAGUAGCGCAUCACUGCUACCGUUCAGCUCAUGGGGAAGCCUUUUUAGCGGUUGGACAUGCUCUUUGGGGCCCAUGACGUUAUCUCUCAUACAGCUCAGCUCUAUUAAGAAAGACGUAACCAAAAUGACCUGAUGUGAUUAGGAUGACUAAGGCUUAGGAUCGCUGGGGUUGGCUGGGUUUGGCAGGGGGCCCAUGUUUACAUUCCCUCUGAGGAAACCAAGGAUGAAAGAACGCCACUGGACACAGACGCACACUCAGAAACAAGUGCUUCAUAUGCACUAGAGGUUAAAAUGACCAAAGCACACGGUGAUCAGUUUUAAUUCCUACCUAAAGCAAAAUAAUUAGGUUCAGGAAACCUAAUUCUUCACUGACCCGGCUCAGCUGGUUCAUGACGACAUUCCUGAAAGCACACCCUCACUAAUUAAAGUCUUCCUCUCCGAGCUUUGGAAGAAUAUGAAGCAUGAAUACAGGCAAUACACAGAAGGGAAAGCGGAUGUCCUAAUAAUAAGCAGAAAACUGAAUUCAGGGCACAGCAGAACAGAGGCUGUGAUGUUGUGUCUCCAGAGAAGCCCGAAGCUCCAGCAGUCAGCCAUGCUGUAAACACCAUUAUUUCACUCCCUCAGUCACUUUCCUCACUUUCUUUUACUUGUUCUUUCCAAAACAAGGCAAUCUACAGCUCUAAUAAUAUCCCCUCCCCGGGCCAAGAAAAGACAGACGAUGUAAGACAGAGGGGAGGCAGGCAGAUUGAGACCAGGGGCUGCUGGGGGUUUGGGGGUGGGGUGGGGGGAGCACGAGAGGGAAAAUUGCAAGAGCAGCACACAGACUGUAUACAGUAAAACAGAAAAAAGGGGAGCGCUGCAACUGUUGCCAAAGUAUGCACAGCUUACAGGAAUGCAGCAUGGGCCCCUCAGCGAAUGAAACAAAGACAGCACAACUGGGCUGUAAUAUCCAGGUGACCGUGUGCACAUGCAGCGCAUGCAUACCCCACUGUCUUGGGAGGAGAGCCGAGAUUGUGCCUCCAAUGAAUACGGUAUCUGACAAAGAUCCUCAGAGAGUCCUUUGCCAUGAGGUGCCAUGUUGAAACUUUCAGUGAUUGGUAUGAGUGAAUGUGAGAGCUAUGACGCCAAACCUGCCUACCUUACCUGCUCCCCAUUCACAACUGAGACCUUGCAGCAUUAUGAAGCGACAUGACAACAGGGAGGAAACAUGGCUAAUUGGGCACAACUUGUACAUUUUCCCUAAGGGCUGUACUCAUUUGUUGCCAGCGGUUUAGACAUGAAUUGCUGUGUGUUGAAUUAUUUACUUUCACAAGCUUACACAAGCUGUACACUGAUUAAAUUACAUAUCUAAAUGUAAUUUUUAGUGUUGUCCUGAGAAAAGACAAAAUAUUUACAAAAAUGUGAGGGAUGUGCUCAUUUUUAUGAGAUGAAUUGUAAAGUUUUCUGUGCAUGAGGGUGAGCUGAUGUACUGAACAGUAUGUAGGGAUAUUCUCCAAGUCUGUGGGAACUUUUCCACACUGCAACCACUUAAAUAGCAUUUUAUUAGAAUUUCAAA